rnacentral:siRNA from 1 species
AGUGCCGCUCACGCCCGGU